rnacentral:lncRNA from 1 species
CUGCGGCCGGCUGGCGCCUCUGCUGGGUCUCCACCCUCCCCUCGGUCGCCUCCCCCCCCCCCCCACUUGUCCUUCAUCCAUUCCUCUCUCCUGCAGUGCUUGCGCUCCAGGCCCGAAAGAAAAGGACCAAGGCCAAGAAGGACAAAGCUCAAAGGAAGUGAGUCUUGCACCCCAACGUCGCGUUCUUUGGAUUUCCUCGGGCACCUCCUCAGCUCUAGAUUCGUGUCUCGAACGUGCACCGGGUGUGGGCCCCCCGCCACAUGGCCUCGGGGCUGCUCACCGGGGCGCUCUCCCGGAACCAUGUGGAAGGGGGCUUCUUCCUGUUGCUGAUCGCCAGGCCGGGGUCUUCUUAGCUGCCCCAGGCCUGCAGGAAAGGGCUGCUGGAGGAGGGCCCGAGCCCGCCCGCCACCUCUCCUCCCCAACUCCACGAGGAGGAGGCACGAGCUCCCCGAGUUUGGGGCCCCCACCGGAGCUGGUACCUCAUUACCAAUCUGUCCGUGAACUCUGGUCUCUUGCUAACUUGCUUCCCAGCGUCUUAACUUGUCUCCUGCGUCUGCACGAACUGAAACUCAGCACCGAGGCUCUGCUCCCCAUUCUGAGAGUGAUCUACCAGAGCAGGAAGAGGAGAUUCUGGGAUCCGAUGAUGAUGAGCAGGAAGAUCCCAAUGACUAUUGUAAAGGAGGUUAUCAUCUUGUGAAAAUCGGUGAUCUGUUCAAUGGCAGAUACCAUGUGAUCCGAAAGUUGGGCUGGGGGCACUUUUCAACAGUGUGGCUAUCAUGGGAUAUUCAGUAAGUUUUAGUAGUCUUACAAACAAAUUACUUGGAUGAUGCCUCCACAUUUUGGUCUGAUUUUUCUCUAAAUUGAUUUUUUGAUUAUAAUUUUAUUAUUGUAAUCUUUAUGUUCUUGGACA